rnacentral:rRNA from 1 species
CCUACGGGAGGCAGCAGUAGGGAAUAUUGCUCAAUGGGGGAAACCCUGAAGCAGCAACGCCGCGUGGCGGAUGAAGGUUUUCGGAUUGUAAACUCCUUUUGUUAGAGAAGAUAAUGACGGUAUCUAACGAAUAAGCACCGGCUAACUCCGUGCCAGCAGCCGCGGUAAUACGGAGGGUGCACGCGUUACUCGGAAGCACUGGGCGUAAAGAGCGCGUAGGGGGGAUAUGAAGUCAGAUGGUAAAACCUAUGGCUUAACCAUAGAACUGCAUUUGAAACUGUUAUUCUAGAGUAUGGGAGAGGUAGGUGGAAUUCGUGGUGGAGGGGUAAAAUCCGGAGAUAUCAAGAGGAAUACUCAUUGCGAAGGCGACCUGCUAGAACAUAACUGACGCUGAUGCGCGAAAGCGUGGGGAGCAAACAGGAUUAGAUACCCGUGUAGUC